rnacentral:ncRNA from 2 species
UUAAAAUAUAAAUUUACAGGUGCCUGGUAAGGCUUAAUAGGGAAGCCGGUGCAAGUCCGGCAUGGUCCCGCCGCUGUAACCGGGGACGAACCCUGCCUCGUGGCCACUCUGGCCUCGAAAAGACCAGGGGAAGGCGCAGGGAGUAGGUUGAUCCGGGAAUCAGAAGACCUGCCUGUAAAAUGGCGUAGUC